AGGUGUUUUCUCUCGAUCUUUCUAUCUAUGAUUAUUCAACCCUAAAUCAUGGAAGCGAUUAUUCAACCCUAAAUCAUAACCAGAUGAUCUGGAUCAGGUUACAUAGAAAUGAGCUUAUAUAUCAAGUUACAGGUUUUGGUAUGUUUCUUCAACCCUAAAUCAAUGAUAAAUUUAUCAUUGAUUCUGCUGGUACCAUCAAUUAUCAUGAGGUUUGUGGGUGAUUGCAUCAUGGGUUUUCUUUAUUUGUUCUUGAUUUUGGAAUUUAAUUUACUUUUGUUGGGUUUGUUAUCUUUGUUUGGGUAGAAAAGUUAUUAUUUUUAGAAGAAUGUAAGAGUACACAUUUGUGAUUUGAGCAAUUUCAGCAACUCUAUGAAGUGUUUGCAUGUCUUAAUUAGAUUAUAGUUGGAAAAUUAUUCUUUAGGUUAUGAUUAUCUGGUGCUUGAAUUUUAUGUAUAAUGUAAUUGGAUUUUUGCCAAACAUUCAACACCAUUAUAAGUGAUAGUCAUUCGAUUAUGAUUAUAUGUCUGAGAUAUAAUUACGUUAAAUGGUUGCAUAUGUGAUAGCACACAGGUUGAUUGCAACUUCUUUAUAAAUAUACACGUUGCCACCCAUAUUCCUGGACGGACCACAAACUAAAAUCAAGGUUCAAAAGUAUUAUAUUUGUUUUUUUUAGUAUCAAACUAAUUUUUUUUUCAUUUCAAUAUGAUUUUGACAUAGUAGCGGGGUCAAACUCAAGCAGCAGCGGUGCUGGUUCAGUUAGAUUCAAAGACAGCUAACUAUCGUUAUCUGUCCGACAGCAGCAGCGUCGACCAUGCAUUUUGGUUCAGUCAAGGCAGCCUAGAGGGGUUAGGGGUGGUAAGAGACGACGGCGGCUGGAAGUUUUAAGAUUCUAACGAAGUCCGGCUAACUCUGACGAGAACCUGGUGACCUGAACAAGUUUGGGCUGUGAUUCCGACAACAUCGAUCUGAAAAAGGAUUUGAAUCAGGUACCUUUGACAUAACACAUAUGUUUUGCCGGCGAUUGUUAAUUGUUUUGAUAUUUUCCGUUGUGUAUUCAUCUAAGUUAUUGGACGGUUCAGAUCUUAGUUUGGCAACAAUGUGAACUUUUGGGAUGGUUUUGUGGAGGUAUGUUCUAAUAUUUUACAAAUAUUAAGGGUAAGAAUGUGAUAGUAGGUCCUGUGUACUUGAUGGCAAUAUAAAGUAUUGUAAAGAAACCAUGUGAUUUAUUUGUUACUGGUUGUUUCGUGUUAAGUUCAGUUAGAUUCAUUUUGUUAUGAAGCAAGAGUAUUAACAUGACUAAUGACUCUGGUAGUUCAAAUAGUGCAUAACACAUUUGAACUUGCAUUUUUCUUAUUUGUUAAGUUGCUUUCUUUACCAUGAAACGAGCUUCAAUUCAACCAGAAUUCAUGUAUAAGUUUUUAUUUUUGUGUUACACUAUUACCAUUUUAUUCGAAUCUGAGUUUGAUACUCUCCUGGAAGGCCUUAUCUGCAAUGGCAUAUCUUGACAACAUUCAUUGACAUUAAUGGUAUUGCUUAAUGCCAAUAGAAUCCUCUUGCAUUAUGUGCAAGUGGAUACUAUGAUGGCACCAUUUUCACAGAAACAUAAAGGGAUUUAUGAUCGAAGGCGGAGAUCUUACCGGGACAGGCAAAGGAGAGGGACAAGUAUUUGGGACGAAAACUUUAAUGAUGAGAUACACGAGUCUCUAGAGGUGAAAUUUGAUUUAUCAUUAUAUAAAUAUGCCUAUUACUUAAAGCGUGUGGGUUUUUAUUAUUCAUUUGGUUGAUGGUUGCUUUAGUUUUUUAGCACAAUGCCAGAGGUGUGCUAUCAAUGGCAUAUGCCUAUU